rnacentral:rRNA from 1 species
CCUACGGGAGGCAGCAGUGAGGAAUAUUGGUCAAUGGACGAAAGCCUGAUGGAGCAACGCCGCGUGCAGGAUGAAGGCCUUCGGGUUGUAAACUGCUUUUAUAAGCGAGAAAUAUGAUGGUAACUUAUGAAUAAGGAUCGGCUAACUACGUGCCAGCAGCCGCGGUCAUACGUAGGAUCCGAGCAUUAUCCGGAGUGACUGGGUGUAAAGAGUUGCGUAGGUGGCAUAAUAAGUAGCUAGUGAAAUCUGGUGGCUCAACCAUUCAGACUAUUAGCUAAACUGUUAAGCUCGAGACCGUUAGGGGUAACUGGAAUUUCUAGUGUAGGAGUGAAAUCCGUAGAUAUUAGAAGGAACACCAAUAGCGUAGGCAGGUUGCUGGGACGGUUCUGACACUAAGGCACGAAAGCGUAGGGAGCAAACGGGAUUAGAUACCCUAGUAGUC